rnacentral:rRNA from 1 species
UACAGAGGUCUCAAGCGUUGUUCGGAUUCAUUGGGCGUAAAGGGUGCGUAGGUGGCGGGGUAAGUCCGGUGUGAAAUCUCGGGGCUCAACCCCGAAACUGCACUUGAUACUGCCUUGCUCGAGUACUGGAGAGGAGAUUGGAAUUUACGGUGUAGCAGUGAAAUGCGUAGAUAUCGUAAGGAAGACCAGUGGCGAAGGCGAAUCUCUGGACAGUUACUGACACUGAGGCACGAAGGCCAGGGGAGCAAACGGG